CCUACGGGUGGCAGCAGUGAGGAAUAUUGGUCAAUGGACGAGAGUCUGAACCAGCCAAGUAGCGUGAAGGAUGACUGCCCUACGGGUUGUAAACUUCUUUUAUAUGGGAAUAAAAUGUUCCACGUGUGGGAUUUUGUAUGUACCAUAUGAAUAAGGAUCGGCUAACUCCGUGCCAGCAGCCGCGGUAAUACGGAGGAUCCGAGCGUUAUCCGGAUUUAUUGGGUUUAAAGGGAGCGUAGGUGGAUUGUUAAGUCAGUUGUGAAAGUUUGCGGCUCAACCGUAAAAUUGCAGUUGAUACUGGCAGUCUUGAGUACAGUAGAGGUGGGCGGAAUUCGUGGUGUAGCGGUGAAAUGCUUAGAUAUCACGAAGAACUCCGAUUGCGAAGGCAGUUCACUGGACUGCAACUGACACUGAGGCUCGAAAGUGUGGGUAUCAAACAGGAUUAGAUACCCCAGUAGUC
rnacentral:rRNA from 1 species